AUGUCGGACGAGGCGGCGAGCCCCCCGGGCGGCGGCGGCGGCGGAGGAGGCGGCGGCAGCGACGACGGCGGCGGCGGCGGCGGCUUCGGCGGCGUCAGGGAGCAGGACAGGUUCCUGCCCAUCGCCAACAUCAGCCGCAUCAUGAAGAAGGCCAUCCCGGCCAACGGCAAGAUCGCCAAGGACGCCAAGGAGACCGUGCAGGAGUGCGUCUCCGAGUUCAUCUCCUUCAUCACCAGCGAGGCGAGCGACAAGUGCCAGAGGGAGAAGCGCAAGACCAUCAACGGCGACGACCUGCUCUGGGCGAUGGCCACGCUGGGCUUCGAGGAGUACAUCGAGCCCCUCAAGGUUUAUCUGCAGAAGUACAGAGAGACGGAGGGUGAUAGUAAGCUAGCUGGGAAGUCUGGUGAUGUCUCUGUUAAAAAGGAUGCACUGGGUCCUCAUGGAGGAGCAAGUGGCACAAGUGCGCAAGGGAUGGGCCAACAAGUAGCAUACAAUCCAGGAAUGGUUUAUAUGCAACCUCAGUACCAUAAUGGGGACAUCUCAAACUGA
rnacentral:rRNA from 1 species